GCUCUUGUGGCUUAGUUGGUCAAAGCGUCGGUCUCAUAAUCCGAAGGUCACCAGUUCGACUCUGGUCAAGAGCA
rfam:Rhizoclosmatium globosum strain JEL800 BCR33scaffold_78, whole genome shotgun sequence.